GGGCCGGUGGCGCAACGGUAGCGCGCCUCGAUGGCAUCGAGGAGGCUGAGAGUUCGAAUCUCUUCCGGUCCACCG
rnacentral:tRNA from 1 species